UUGUCUUCUUUCCAGGUCUUCACAGGAGAGAAGAGGUCUUGUGGGAAGCCUCCUCUGUUCAUCUUCCUGAGAGUUCCUUUUUACUCCAGUUCAAGUAUUUUUGUGGUCAGGUGUUUUCUCUUUCGCCAGACUGAGGGCUUACGCAGUGCUCAAACCGACUUAUGCCUUGUCUGAAAAUAUAGAAAUCCCCAGAUCCCUUUAAAUGAUGCUUGUCCUGCACUGCAGCUGUGGAAACAACAAAGAGGGCCAGGUCAAAAAUAAAAGAUUUCUCAAGACUCACUGCGUCACUACUUCAUGAUUCCUGGUGGUUCCCAAGGCCUUCACAAACCGGACCCUCCACACACACUCCGUCAUGGUGUGAACUCUGUUUGACGUCACGGCCACAGCUGAAUGAAGCACCCUUCAAGCAGGUUUUGAAAUGCACUCCCCUCACUCACUAGAAAUGUAUGUAACGUGUUACAUGUGGCACAAAUGUUUCGUGGUUUCCAUAAGUACCCGCAAAGUAGACUCAUUGAA